UACGUAGGGUGCAAGCGUUGUCCGGAAUUAUUGGGCGUAAAGAGCUCGUAGGCGGUCUGUCGCGUCGGCUGUGAAAACCCGGGGCUCAACCCCGGGCCUGCAGUCGAUACGGGCAGACUAGAGUGCGGUAGGGGAGACUGGAAUUCCUGGUGUAGCGGUGAAAUGCGCAGAUAUCAGGAAGAACACCGGUGGCGAAGGCGGCUCACUGGCUCGUAACUGACGCUCAGGCGCGACAGCGUGGGGAUCAAACAGG
rnacentral:rRNA from 1 species